UAGGGCUCUUUGCACAAUACAGGAUGAAGAAACUGCAAGAGCGCAACUGGGUAAUGAAUACCCAUGCUUAUUAACUGCUCACUAACAUGCAAAUACCCAACUUCCAGUGGCUGCUAAAAGUUAAAAUGUUGUGAGAGACAUCAGGAGGUUAAAAAAAAAUCACUAUAUAGAGUACUGCACACCUCACGUCCUUUCCCCUUAAAGCAAACACGCACUUAAGAGGUGGGAGCUGCUGAUGUUGAGAGACACAGCGUUGGUUCCUCAUUAGCUUUGCUGUGACACGAUGGUGAAGACCUAGCAUAGUCUCACCUGUUUAUUUUGGCAAUUAAUUGGAACUCUUGAGGAACGGAGUUCUCAUCCUGCAUGUUUCAUUUCAUCUACAACAUGUUUGACUGAGGCUGGGUUCCCCUGUCAAGGCCAGGAGUCCUGUCUACAAGGAAGAGAACUGUUCUUUUUUUUUUUUCCUCUCAUCUCAUGCUCGGCAAUAAGAAAAUUCUAUCAUUGGAAAAAUGCGUAUUUUAUUGUGAACAGUGAUGUGUACUUAGAAGAACCAUCUUCCUGACCUCCUGAGAAGAGAUAGACCAGGUGUUCUUCCAGUGGGACUUUUAUCUUUCUCAAACAACAAAACCCCAUUAAAAGGAUACUGGAUGUCAAAGGCA